rnacentral:lncRNA from 1 species
UUAACUGAUGUUUGGAACUUUAAAUACACAAAACGUCAUUUGAUAGUAUGCAAGUUCUCAGUUAAAGUUUACUGAUAAAUGCUAGAUCGUAUAAUUUCAUCUAUCUGCAUACUAAGUCAGGAAGAUAAAUUAAUUGAUAGAAUUUGCUACAAAUUUACCUCUUCAUCGACAAAGGAACAUAAAAAACAUUGAAAAUAUUAUGAUACAUCGCUGUGUAUACAAGAAGCAUAAGAACCGUUAUAAAGUAUCAAUUAAUAGUACUUCAGCGUCAAACAAUCGUCAACGAUUUGUACUUCAGCGUCAAACACUCGUCAUUAAGCGUCAACCACUGUCAUUCAAGCGCCAAACAAUAGUUCAUCACCGUCAAGCUAUCGUACUUUAGCGUGAUAAGUAGCGGUUAGAAUAACAUUAGCGGUCCAGAGUCAUAUACUGUUGAUUCAUUAUUGUUCGUUGGAUACCAAUUUUUGUCGUUUUCGUGGGAAAAUGUAAACAACGAAAUUAAAUGUUCAACGAAUGACAAACUUCCCUAUAGGCUUGUAUGCAAACUUCGACAAAACCACGAAAUUAAAUAUCCACAAACAUGUUAGUUUUUCUUAUCCCACGAACAUUGAUACCCAUGCAAAUGUUAAUCAACAGUAUAUUUAUCAAUACCGAUUGGUCUUUUCAAAUGUACUUGCUGUGUUUUAAGAUAAAGCAAAUUAAGAUAAACUAUAAAAAAAAAAUAUCAACAUAUAAACUACACACACAAAAAAAAUGUAUAAUAAUAAAGAGAAGUUGUAUGAUUGAAAAUGAGACAACUAACAACAUAAGUUCAUAUA